rnacentral:rRNA from 1 species
CCCUUAGAUGAUUUGGGCUGCACGCGCGCUACACUGACCCUAACAAUGAGCAACUGUCUGGCCUGAGAUGGCUGGGUAGCCUUUUCAACCCAUGUCAUGAUUGGGCUAGAUUUUUGUAAGUCUUGAUCUCUAACGAGGAAUCCCUAGUAUGCGUGAAUCAUCAAUCCAUGCAGAUUAUGUCCCUGCCCUUUGUACACACCGCCCGUCGCUCCUACUGAUUGGGUGAUCCGGUGAGCUGUUCGGCCAUAGCAAUGUUUCUUGAGUAGGGCAAUGAAUGUUUCGCAAACCUUGCCACUUAGAGGAAGGAGAAGUCGUAACA